CGUACAGGUCUCCGUAGGUGAACCUGCGGAGGGAUCAUUACACAAAUAUGAAGGCGGGCAGGAACCUCUCGGGGUUACAGCCUUGCUGAAUUAUUCACCCUUGUCUUUUGCGUACUUCUUGUUUCCUUGGUGGGUUCGCCCACCACUAGGACAAACAUAAACCUUUUGUAAUUGCAAUCAGCGUCAGUAACAAAUUAAUAAUUACAACUUUCAACAACGGAUCUCUUGGUUCUGGCAUCGAUGAAGAACGCAGCGAAAUGCGAUAAGUAGUGUGAAUUGCAGAAUUCAGUGAAUCAUCGAAUCUUUGAACGCACAUUGCGCCCUUUGGUAUUCCAAAGGGCAUGCCUGUUCGAGCGUCAUUUGUACCCUCAAGCUUUGCUUGGUGUUGGGCGUCUUGUCUCUAGCUUUGCUGGAGACUCGCCUUAAAGUAAUUGGCAGCCGGCCUACUGGUUUCGGAGCGCAGCACAAGUCGCACUCUCUAUCAGCAAAGGUCUAGCAUCCAUUAAGCCUUUUUUUCAACUUUUGACCUCGGAUCAGGUAGGGAUACCCGCUGAACUUAAGCA
rnacentral:rRNA from 1 species